ACACCCAAAAAAAUAAAAAAAGAAAAUAAAUAAAAAAUUAAAGUAAAAGAUAAAGCGAGAAGAGCUUCUGGAUUCUUCUUCUUCAAUUAAAAUAUAAAAAUUAAUUUAAUUUAAUUUAAUUUUUGGUGAAAAUGGAGAAAUUGCCGGCGACGGCGAAGACGGCGACGAAGGAGGUGGUGUAUGUGGGGUGGGAAGAGGUGUAUGUGUGUAGGGAGAAAGGGAGGAGAGAGAUUCAUUAUGUGCUGAAGAGAAAAGAUGGAGGUUCUGAUCUUGCUGUUAUUGCUAAAGAGAAGAGUUUGAGGCAUAUGACUUAUCGAUUUUUGCUGGAUUAUUCAUCUUUUGUUAAGCCUAAAUCGAAGAAAGAAGUUGUUGAUUGGCUGAAUUCCUUUAUUCCAGAAUCACAAACUCCUGUCACUCCCCAGUUAAGUGGUGGAUCUUCUGAAGGAAGUGAACCUGAUGUAUUAGAUAUAGAAACAAUUAAGGCCAUCCAACUAAAGAAGCUAGGUCAUCAUACCAAAGAGUUUCAAUGGUUAGGCUCCCAAUGGACAUGCAAAAAGAAGAGAAAGCACUAUAAAGCUUUCCAUCGUAAUGGAGUUAAAGUCAUGGUUAAUCAGUUUGUUCGUGUAUUGGCUGAGGAGAACAAAAGACUUGUAGCCUACUUGGAUGAUAUGUAUGAAGAUGUGAAAGGAAACAGGAUGGUUGUGGUACGGUGGUUUCAUAAAAUUGACGAGGUUGGUAUUGAUUUGCCUCCCAAUUUUAAUGACAGAGAGAUUUUGUUUUCUCUUUGCCUUCAAGAUCUCAGUGUUGAAUGCAUUGACGGAUUUGCCAUGGUUCUAAGUCCCCGGCACUAUUCCAAGUUUGUGUCUGAAGCCCAGCAUGCUAUGCUUCGACCAUAUAUGUGCUGUCAGCAAUAUGACAGUGAUGAUCUCAAGCCUUUGGACAUAACUCAAGUGAAAGGUUACUGGGAGCAGGAUGCUGUCAGAUACAUAGCUUCUCUUCCUUCAGCAAGGGUUAUUGAGAAUACUUGUCUGCCUGAGGAUUCCUGGAAAAAGGAAGAUAUCAGUGCUUUCAAUGGUAGUAAACCAAGGAAGAGACUGCGUUUAUCAAGAGAGUUCAAAGAGGACAUGCAAUGUGCUACUGUAAGAGGUUCUUUGGACACUGUUCCCGCAACAGGUCAUACCAGUGCCGGUGUAGCGCAGGGUUCUGGCUUCACUGUAUAUAGAAAAGAGAAUGUUGAAGUUGUAGCGCAACACACAGCUGUGGGUUCAGUGGUUGAGAAUUUGUCGCAGGAUAGUGGGAUGUUUGGUUGUUGGUUUAGAGCAACCAUCAUUAAGAAGCACAAGAACAAAGUAAAGCUACGUUAUCAUGACAUCAAGGAUGCAGAGGAUGAAGCUAAAUGCCUUGAGGAAUGGGUAUUAGCAUCUAGAAUUGCUGUUAGUGAUGCAAUGGGCCUUCGACUUGAAGGUAGGACAACUAUCAGGCCUUCUCCGAUAAGUGAUGGCAAAGUCAUGUGGGCCAUCAACGUCGGCACCAUUGUUGAUGCUUGGUGGCAUGAUGGCUGGUGGGAGGGUAUUGUUAUCAGGAAAGAAGCUAAUGAGAAACUCUUAGUUUAUUUUCCAGGUGAAAAGCGAGAAGCUGUCUUCUCUCGAAGUGAUUUGAGACAUUCCCAAGAGUGGGUAAAGGGUGCUUGGAAAGAAUUUAGCGCAAGGGCAGAUAUUGCAAUGUCCAUAGUGUCUGACCUGAAAGUGGGAAAAGGUCUGAAGCAUGGCCCCGAAAAGCAUUUGCAAGCUUGUGUUUCCAAACAUCCUGAGUGUGAUAUCGGUAAAGAUGAGCGUGGGUCUCAAGAUUUUUCUAAUACUUUCCGUAUAAGUACAAUGUACAAGAAGGAAAACAGUACAGCUGUGACUGAUCUUUUGAAAGAUGAUUACCUUUCACACUUGAAGUGGGAGUCAUCAUGUAAGAGAAAGCGCAGUGGACUUGUUCAGAAGCUGCAUCCUCGUAGGAGCUAUGGGUUUACCCCUGAAAGAAGACGUGACAAUCGUGAGGUGUUCCGUGUACCUUCCACCUUAAAAGCUGAAAAAGAGCAUCGCAAGUCUGUUAAAGUUGACCGUGACAACUGCAAGUACAUAACUGAUGCUAUUUUCAGCCCAUCUGUAGUGCCGUCUUUAACCAGUCUUGUUAUGUCCAGAUAGUUUAUUUUCUAUGCUUGUGAAUCUAUCUUUAACAAGGCAUUUAGGUCAUGGCAGUAUUUUCUUUUGUGCUCAUCCAUGUGAAGAUAACCAUCUCCGUUCUCCUUGCUACAAAACUGGUGGGGAAAUAGGAUUGUCAUCCUAGACAAGGGCGUGGUGAUAGAGCAAAGAUGUGUAUCAACUCAUAUUUAACAAGGACCCACAGGUCUUUUAUGCCUGUGCAGCAAAGGGAGGAUGCAGAUCUGACACUAUUUCUGUGGGCCAGUUAUUGAGCAAUAUUGGUAAGAUUUGUCUAACUUGACAUCUCUUAUUUUGGAAGAUUACGUUGGGCGUAAGCAUAAAUGGCUUUCAUAUCAUCCUACUAUGUUGAGACCGAUUAGUGGGAUUCGCUUGCUUGCUUCCAAGAGAGACCCCUCAAUUGAACAAACAGCUCUUCGAAGAGCAGGUGGUUAAACAGUUGCCUUCUUGAUAGAUUUGUACCAUGCUGUAGGACUUGCCUUAAACGGGAUGGUUAUCUCCUAUGAGAACGAUCUCAUUUUUCUGAAUUUGAGCAAGCUGGUCAUUGAGGAUUUGAGGACCAUUAAGAAACUCGAGCUGCAAUGGCUAGCAAUCCAACGAGAUAAGUCUCUGGAUACUGCAGAUUUCACACCUUCACUUGAAAUCUCAGUCUUUCCUGUCUCAUCUAAGUGGGUUUCGAGCAGGGAUUCUACAAUUUUAAUGAUUUUAACAGUUGUGGUCCAUGGACUGGUAGCUCUGGGGCGAAGAAUACUGGGGUCUGAUAGAACCAAAGAUGACCAGUAUAAUCAGGUGGUGAUUUAUAUGGCUGAGGUACAGAACAGUGCUGAAAAGAAAGUGCUCAUGCAAGAUAAUUGCUUUGAUUACCUCAAUUAAAGCAUAGGCUAAGAUGCUCCAGCUUUUGCUUUACUCUUUAAUUCUUUAUAAUAGUGGAAGGGUGCAUUUUCUAUUUUGACUUUUGGGUCCCAACCCCAUCCUUCAUGAUCAAAGAUUGUAUCCUUGUUUAUAUAAAAAUAAUUAUGAGUAUAAUAUAAAAAAAUUCUUCAUUCUUC